rnacentral:pre_miRNA from 1 species
UGUUAAAAAUUUCAUCUAUUUCUACAAUAAAAAAUUAACAUGGGCGACAAAAUAGCCAAACUAUUACACGAGGUGUACCACGUGUACCUUAUGUUGACAUAUAAAGAUCAAUUUUAAAUAGUAAAAAUGGAUGAAAUUUUUAAAA